CCUGGCGGCACUAGCGCGGUGGUCCCACCUGACCCCAUGCCGAACUCAGAAGUGAAACGCCGUAGCGCCGAUGGUAGUGUGGGGUCUCCCCGGA
rnacentral:rRNA from 1 species